UUCUGGGGGGAUUGACAGAUUGAGAGUUCUUUCUUGAUUUGGUGGAUGGUGGUGCAUGUCCGUUCUUAGUUGGUGGAGUGAUUUUUCUGGCUAAUUCUGAAGACGACGGAUAUUCUAGUCUAUUAAAUAGGUGCACGGGUCUCUGCACCUUGCACCCUUCUUGGAGGGACAAGCGGCUCCUAGCCGCACGAAACAGAGCAAUAACAGGUCUGUGAUGCCCUUAGAU
rnacentral:rRNA from 1 species